CUUGUGACACUCACUUGAUCAUAGAUAGGGAAGCUGCAGAGUUUUUGUCUCAGAAAUAAUCAAGCAAGGAAACACCCAGGAGGCACAGGGCAAACCGCCAUCCUGGGAGCUGGUGGGGUGGGAAGAUGCGGAGGCCCAGUCCGUGUGGGCAGCAGCGUGCCUUCUGUGUGGCUCACCUGUCUUUUCCUCCUUUUGGCUUGACACCAGAUAAGAGGUUUUCUGACAGACCCUGGGAAACCGGAGGAUGUGCUAUAAAAGGAAAUGCAUUUUAAAAGCAGAUCAAGGACAGGACUCACUUGGAUUUGGCUGGUGUGCCUGAACUCUCACCCCAUCCGGGAGUUUUUCUCAGGAAUGCUGACUAUUCUCGGGUUCCAGGAACAGGCAGAGCUGUUUGUAACAUCAUAGAAGAUUAGUCAACUGGUUAUCGGACUUUUGACUCCUGAAGGCCGGACUGCAGACCCUCCCCUCCCCUUCCGCUGUUACAUUCGCAGUUCAUUCACAGCUGCAUCUAGUUAUCUUCUUCCUUGCCCGUAUUCAAUCCGCCAACGGGCGAGGGGGAAUAACAGAUUUUCUGACUGCUCUCUCAAGCUGCCGGCAUUAUUAGAAUAAAUGCUCAAAUAUGAUUCAA